CGAACGGGGAGAUUCAUCGUCAGCGGACGCCGGCUUCGCGUCGGUCGGCGAUGUCCCGCGGGGGCCCUCGCGGCUCUCAGCGCGGGCACGCUGCCGUGCGCCGAUGUAUCCGGCUUCGCCGUCGUGCACUUCUCCCCUGGUAGAACGUCGCGACCCGCUGGGUGUCGGUCUACGGCCCGGGUGCGGUGUCUGACGCGCCGCCGGUAAAACGGCGCGCGUCAAACCCCCGGUCGCCCGGCCGGCUGCCCGGCGGUACGCGCAAGGUAUCAGGCCGCACACACAUUGGUGCGUCGAGGCCGUCGCAAGCGCGCGCCACGGUACACGGAGGUACGGACCUAGCGCCGUCACCGGUCCUGGCCCGCUGUUGGUCGUACGGUUAACCUUCGACAGGCCUACGAACGUCCCAGCGUGGGGGUCGGGGGCUCGUCUCCCGCGCUCUCGCGUUGGCGACCGAUACCGGUCAGCGACGCUACUGCUUUGGGUACUCUUAGGACCCGUCUUGA
rnacentral:rRNA from 1 species